CUGAUAUCCUGUAUGUGGUUCGGCUUUGAGUAGUGUUCCUCUUCCUCGUCUUUGUUGUUCCUUUCGAAGGUAUCAUGGGCGCGCAUAAGCAUGUGUAGGGGAUCCUUCCUCCAUGAUCAACGCCCUUGUUUUAGUCUUUUGUCAAUCUUCUUCUCCGUAGUUUCAGCUUUCCCAUCUUCCUUAUUCUCCACAAACAUCCCCCAAGUACAAUCCAUCAAGCUAAUCAAAGGGGAAGGAAAAAAUAAACUAAAACUAUUACUUAUACGAAUCGAAAUGAAGAUUGUUGGGUGUUAUUUGAUGAUGAAGGGAAUCAAUGGGAAGGAAAGCACGCCUUUCCAA